ensembl:snoRNA
ACUGCCUCUAGAGGCGUUGCAGGUGUGGCUGCCAUGUGCUGUCUGUGUCAUCGGAUGGUUGACAGCCUGACACU